GUGCAUUGUGGUUGCAUUGCAUGUGUGGUUGAAGAGUGCAAUGCCCCUGCAGUGCAGCC
rnacentral:pre_miRNA from 1 species